rnacentral:rRNA from 1 species
UACGUAGGGAGCAAGCGUUGUCCGGAAUCAUUGGGCGUAAAGAGCUCGUAGGCGGCUUGGUAAGUCGGAUGUGAAACCUCCAGGCUCAACCUGGAGUCGCCAUCCGAUACUGCCAUAGCUAGAGUCCGGUAGGGGCCCACGGAACUCCUGGUGUAGCGGUGAAAUGCGCAGAUAUCAGGAGGAACACCGGUGGCGAAGGCGGGUCUCUGGGCCGAUACUGACGCUGAGGAGCGAAAGCGUGGGGAGCGAACAGG